rnacentral:lncRNA from 1 species
CUGCGCCCUAUUUGGUCAUUCGGGGGGCAAGCGGCGGGAGGGGAAACGUGCGCGGCCGAAGGGGAAGCGGAGCCGGCGCCGGCUGCGCAGAGGAGCCGCUCUCGCCGCCGCCACCUCGGCUGGGAGCCCACGAGGCUGCCGCAUCCUGCCCUCGGAACAAUGGGACUCGGCGCGCGAGGUGCUUGGGCCGCGCUGCUCCUGGGGACGCUGCAGGUGCUAGCGCUGCUGGGGGCCGCCCAUGAAAGCGCAGCCAUGGCGGGUAACAUCUGCAAACAUAGAGAAUUCUGGGCUUCCACACAACUCCAGUGCUAACUCAACAGAGACUCUCCAACAUGUGCCUUCUGACCAUACAAAUGAAACUUCCAACAGUACUGUGAAACCACCAACUUCAGUUGCCUCAGACUCCAGUAAUACAACGGUCACCACCAUGAAACCUACAGCGGCAUCUAAUACAACAACACCAGGGAUGGUCUCAACAAAUAUGACUUCUACCACCUUAAAGUCUACACCCAAAACAACAAGUGUUUCACAGAACACAUCUCAGAUAUCAACAUCCACAAUGACCGUAACCCACAAUAGUUCAGUGACAUCUGCUGCUUCAUCAGUAACAAUCACAACAACUAUGCAUUCUGAAGCAAAGAAAGGAUCAAAAUUUGAUACUGGGAGCUUUGUUGGUGGUAUUGUAUUAACGCUGGGAGUUUUAUCUAUUCUUUACAUUGGAUGCAAAAUGUAUUACUCAAGAAGAGGCAUUCGGUAUCGAACCAUAGAUGAACAUGAUGCCAUCAUUUAAGGAAAUCCAUGGACCAAGGAUGGAAUACAGAUUGAUGCUGCCCUAUCAAUUAAUUUUGGUUUAUUAAUAGUUUAAAACAAUAUUCUCUUUUUGAAAAUAGUAUAAACAGGCCAUGCAUAUAAUGUACAGUGUAUUACGUAAAUAUGUAAAGAUUCUUCAAGGUAACAAGGGUUUGGGUUUUGAAAUAAACAUCUGGAUCCUUAUAGACCGUUCAUACAAUGGUUUUAGCAAGUUCAUAGUAAGACAAACAAGUCCUAUCUUUUUUUUUUUGGCUGGGGUGGGGGCAUUGGUCACAUAUGACCAGUAAUUGAAAGACGUCAUCACUGAAAGACAGAAUGCCAUCUGGGCAUACAAAUAAGAAGUUUGUCACAGCACUCAGGAUUUUGGGUAUCUUUUGUAGCUCACAUAAAGAACUUCAGUGCUUUUCAGAGCUGGAUAUAUCUUAAUUACUAAUGCCACACAGAAAUUAUACAAUCAAACUAGAUCUGAAGCAUAAUUUAAGAAAAACAUCAACAUUUUUUGUGCUUUAAACUGUAGUAGUUGGUCUAGAAACAAAAUACUCC